CUCUCGGGGAAACAGAAUAAGGAAAAGCUGAAGCGAAGGCAUCAGUGACUGAGGGCUCCCUCUACUCCCUCACUGGCAGGUCUCACAACUCAGGUCUCAGAGCCAAGGAUACCAUCUAAAGGAGCAAUGGCUGUGCUGUUGCUGCAGGUAUCUGGUGUUCUGCCAGAGCCCGGCUGAGGAUGGGAAGCAACAGAGGCAGCCUGACCCAGGGGGACUGAAAGGUAAUAUUCGAGGCAAGGACUUUAAAUAGCACAAAUGACCUUCAGCAGGAACAACAUUCUAGAGUCAAGAUCCCACUUGAUAGGUGAGAAAGCAUGGGGUCCAUCUCAGAUCAUCAAGGGAGUCAGCCGAGAAUGGCUGUCGCUCGGCAAGAAAAAGCCAGGUGUAAAAUGCUGGAGGUUUCAAAGGGAAGCAGGAAGUAUGGACACACCAUCCAAGAUACAGUUGUUUCUGGAGGGCCAGUGCACAGAGCCCCUCCUACACUCCCUACUGUGAAUGUCGCAGCGGAUGCACAUUUUAAGGUGUCACUGGAGGGGCAGUCAACGUGGUACAGUCUUGUCGUCUCACUAGGAGGACAAAGAUCCAAAAAUCAGCAAGUGUGUCAAAGGUACAUAGCAAAUGUCUGAUUGCUCCCUCAUGG